ACGCUCGACACCUACGGAAGGCAGCAGUGGGGAAUAUUGGGCAAUGGGCGAAAGCCUGACCCAGCAACGCCGCGUGAGGGAAGAAGGUUUUCGGAUUGUAAACCUCUGUCCUCAGGGACGAAGGACGUGACGGUACCUGAGGAGGAAGCCCCGGCUAACUACGUGCCAACAGCCGCGGUAAUCUGAGCGGGCUGGCAAGGC
rnacentral:rRNA from 1 species